rnacentral:lncRNA from 1 species
AACAAUCUUUUGGGCAAGAGGACAUUGAGCAGGGUUCUGCACAUUCUGGUUUAUAGAUUGCGGUGGGGCAGAUGAUUAGUCAUCCGGGUUGUCAGCAAAGAGAUAAGAAUCCUUAUAUACCAGCCUAUAUAUAUAAAUAUUUUUUGUACCUAUAUAUGUAUGAUGUGCUAAUGUCAAGAUAAGUAAGAAGUAAGAAUAGUUUUAUGAAGAUUUUUGUAUUAAAUCAUAUUUUGAUCGAG